AACGAACGCUGGCGGCAUGCCUAACACAUGCAAGUCGAACGAGAUCUUCGGGUCUAGUGGCGCACGGGUGCGUAACGCGUGGGAAUCUGCCCUUUGGUUCGGAAUAACAGUUGGAAACGACUGCUAAUACCGGAUGAUGACGAAAGUCCAAAGAUUUAUCGCCAGAGGAUGAGCGCGCGUAGGAUUAGCUAGUUGGUGUGGCAAAGGAGCACCAAGGCGACGAUCCUUAGCUGGUCUGAGAGGAUGAUCAGCCACACUGGGACUGAGACACGGCCCAGACUCCUACGGGAGGCAGCAGUGUGGAGUAUUGGACAAUGGGCGAAAGCCUGAUCCAGCAAUGCCGCGUGAGUGAUGAAGGCCUUAGGGUUGUAAAGCUCUUUUACCCGGGAUGAUAAUGACAGUACCGGGAGAAUAAGCUCCGGCUAACUCCGUGCCAGCAGCCGCCGUAAGAC
rnacentral:rRNA from 1 species